UACGGAGUGUGCAAGCGUUACUCGGAAUCACUGGGCAUAAAGGGCGUGUAGGCGGGCUUUCAAGUCGGUUGUGAAAUCCCUCAGCUCAACUGAGGAACUGCAUCCGAUACUGUUUGUCUUGAGGACGAGAGGGGAGAGUGGAACUUCUGGUGGAGCGGUGAAAUGCGUAGAUAUCAGAAGGAACGCCGGUGGCGAAAGCGACUCUCUGGCUCGUAUCUGACGCUGAAACGCGAAAGCUUGGGUAGCAAACGGG
rnacentral:rRNA from 1 species